UUCUCAGAGGGAAUUAUACAGAGAAGUCAUGUUGGAGAACUACAGCAACCUGGUUUCUGUAGGCCUUUCUGUAUCAAAGCCAGAGCUAGUCACCUGUCUUGAACAGAACAAAGAACCCUGGAUCAUGAACAUAGA